GAAGUGCGAUAAGCAAUGCGAAUUGCAGAACCGUGAGUCAUCAGAUUUUUGAACGCAACUGGCGCUAGCUGGCUCUCCAGCUAGCAUGCUUGUUUCAGUGUCUCUUUAUCUCAUCACCAAUAUCAUAAUGCGAGAGAUAACCUUCUCUUGCUAAGCAUGAAAGCACUCUGUUCUCUGCGAGCGGUCUCGUACCGCGCUCAAUGCAGCAGUCACAUUGCUCACAAUGUGAACUCAUUGAGAGCUGAGGCAGUGCAGCCUAGCUGCCAGUGCUUAGACACUUAAACUUUAUUUGCAUCUGAAAUCAAGCAGGAUCACCCGCUGAACUUAA
rnacentral:misc_RNA from 1 species